rnacentral:rRNA from 1 species
UUCGGCGGCCAUAGCGAUGUGGGAAACACCCGGUCACAUUCCGAACCCGGAAGUUAAGCCCGUCAGCGCCGAUGGUACUGCACUCGAAGGGGUGUGGGAGAGUAGGACGCCGCCGGAC